GGAAAGAUUGGUGUGUUUGAAAUAACAGCUCAGCGGCGGAGCUUUCGAUAAUGGAAACUACGCUACAGCUCUAUUGUCAAGAUGCAUAGUUGCUAGAUAGAGCGGACGUGGUGGACUGUAACGAUAUAUUGGUAUAUUGACACAUCUGGACCACUGAUGAGGAAUUUUAUUGGAAAACAGAGCUGUUACCAUAGUUACAAUAUCUCUAUGUGUGUACCAUUAGGAAUGUUUAAAGAGGGGGGACAGGCGGCUGAAGGUUGAAGAGAAGGAGAUGGUCACUGCAGUUCGACAGGACAGCAACAUCCACCAUGAAUAUUAUAACAGCUCUCAAUGAACCAUUGUUAGCUACAAACAAUUCUGAUAACUCAUCUGAAGUUACCCACAAAUAUCCGAAGCACUAAUGUGUGCAUAAAAUGUAACAUAGCACACCAUGCUGAAGAUUAAGGAUUCCUGCUUGACCUGUCUAAAAUACUGCUAUUCAUCUAGAAAUAAUAGGGUUAUGGAUUUGUUAAUGACAGUUCAAUACUAAUAAUAUCGUAAAGGUCUCAUGCAUUGAAUAUUUCUAAUAAAUCUGCAUAAGUUAUUUUUAAAAGUUUAAAAUAGUCGCACCCACCCAACAAUGGACUAAAAUUAAGAAAGAGUUUGAAAUCUAAUGUGUUAAAGAGCAUUUUUUGAAUAAAAUAUCAAAUAUUAUAGUAACGAAAUCCACAAAUAUUUCAUUGCGUUAUCAACAAAGGUAUGCUCAUGAUUCUUUAUAAAAAUCCUUUAAAAUAUUGCUACAAGAAUAUAUGUUUCUGUGCUAGUAUUCUAACACAAGUUUCUGCUAUACGCUAUACAACAAACGUAAAAAAAUA